rnacentral:tRNA from 1 species
AAAGAUUUAAGUUAAAUAAACUAAUAACCUUCAAAGUUAUAAAUAGGGUAUGAAUCUCUAAUCUUUA